rnacentral:lncRNA from 1 species
GUCUGGAGAGAGGUGGAGCUUUGUCUAUAUUUAAUUGCUACAUCACAGAUGUUGGUCAAAUCUGUGACGUCAAACUCCCGCCAAAUGCUAAGUUAGUGUUGGUCAGUGCACAUAUAAUUCAACAUUUACAGUAUUAGAGCAUCAAAGACCCAAAGUGUGUGGUUAUAUUGAUAAAAUAAUGGUGUCAGGACACUCCUGGGGUGUUCUCAGUGGAACUUUUGUAUGAAUGAUGCAUUUAUAGGGGUUCUAAGGGGGAAAUUCAGUUUUUAGGUAAUUUCUCUGAACAAUUUUUCAUGAGAAUUGUUAGCAAAAAAUGAAAAUAGAAACUUCAUUGGUACCCCUUUUGGUUUGACUUUGAUAUAUGUGAUUAAAGGGAGUAUUUUCUACAAUACCGUGUCCCAGUUUUUGGAUAAUUUGUUUCUAAAUGAAUUUAUAGUUGUCCAAAGAUGAAAGGGGAAAUGAGGUUUGGUACCCAGCAGUUAAAUCAAUAUAUCUUCUUACUGGAGGCAUAUAUAAAAAAUCUGAGACACGGUUUUGUUUAUAGUGUAUGGUUGAUUAAAGCGAUGAAAACAAAUUUUCACUACCAUUUGACCUGAAUGUGUCAUUUUCAUCCGAGUUGGAAGACCACGUUUUUGGCAAUUAAGGAGCUAUAAUUUGAGAUUAAUCAUACCAAAAAUUUAUUUAUUUACAGAUUAAGAAGAAUUAAUACUUCACCUGUAUAAUGAGCUAAAGAUUUUAAAAAUCCAUUGAGUAGUUUU